GUUUCAAAUGUUCUACCUGCGGUCUCCAAGACUGAGGAAGAGCUUCAGGAGAUCCUGAUCCGAAAAGAGGCGCAGAUGAAAGAAAAGCAGGAACGGAAGAAAAACAAGAGCAGGAUGUUUCCCAAAAGAAAGCGUUACGGGAGGAGAACAAGAAAAGAAGCAUGGCAGGCAUCAAGAGGAAGCGCCAGGAGGAGGAAGAGCAUGACCCUGAAGUGGAGGAUCCCGGGAACCAGGAUAACAGGCCCCCGGUUGUUGAAUCUGACGACGAGGCAGAGUACUACAGACAGGUUGUUUUGUUGUACUAUAUUUUUGUGCUACUU